UCAGGCACCUAUCGAAGCUGCUGUUGUUCUUGUGUAGCAGACAAGGUCAAAAGGCAGCCAAAAAAUGUUACUUUCACCGACGGCCGCUGUGCAGUAAAAAUAAAGGA
ensembl:snoRNA